CUCGGUAAAGUCUAAAGGCUUAGGAUGCUUGCAUGGAAUGCAAGAGAUCCAGGUUCGAUUCCUGACUGAGG
rnacentral:tRNA from 1 species